ACCUUCGGGUCUAGUGGCGCACGGGUGCGUAACGCGUGGGAAUCUGCCCUUGGGUUCGGGAUAACAGUUGGAAACGACUGCUAAUACCGAAUGAUGACUCCGGUCCAAAGAUUUAUCGCCCAGGGAUGAGCCCGCGUCGGAUUAGCUAGUUGGUGAGGUAAAGGCUCACCAAGGCGACGAUCCGUAGCUGGUCUGAGAGGAUGAUCAGCCACACUGGGACUGAGACACGGCCCAGACUCCUACGGGAGGCAGCAGUGGGGAAUAUUGGACAAUGGGCGAAAGCCUGAUCCAGCAAUGCCGCGUGAGUGAUGAAGGCCCUAGGGUUGUAAAGCUCUUUUACCCGGGAUGAUAAUGACAGUACCGGGAGAAUAAGCCCCGGCUAACUCCGUGCCAGCAGCCGCGGUAAUACGGAGGGGGCUAGCGUUGUUCGGAAUUACUGGGCGUAAAGCGCGCGUAGGCGGCUUUGCAAGUUAGAGGUGAAAGCCCGGAGCUUAACUCCGGAACUGCCUUUAAAACUGCAUCGCUAGAAUCAUGGAGAGGUUAGUGGAAUUCCGAGUGUAGAGGUGAAAUUCGCAGAUAUUCGGAAGAACACCAGUGGCGAAGGCGACUAACUGGAC
rnacentral:rRNA from 1 species